GGACACUGCCGGCCUCUCCGCCGAUCCCGAAACCUUCGCCAAGAACCGAGAGCUCGAGGUCAUCCACUCCCGUUGGGCAAUGCUCGGCGCCCUCGGCUGCGUCUUCCCCGAACUCCUAUCCAAGAACGGUGUCAAGUUCGGCGAGGCGGUCUGGUUCAAGGCCGGAGCUCAAAUCUUCUCGGAAGGCGGGCUGGACUACCUAGGAAACCCUAACCUGGUGCAUGCACAGAGCAUCCUCGCAAUCUGGGCCGUGCAGGUGGUGCUGAUGGGGUUCAUUGAGGGUUACAGAAUUGGCGGCGGGCCACUAGGGGAGGGACUCGACCCGUUGUACCCGGGUGGAGCGUUCGACCCCCUAGGGCUGGCUGAUGACCCCGAUGCGUUUGCAGAGUUGAAGGUGAAGGAGCUCAAGAACGGCAGGUUGGCUAUGUUUUCUAUGUUUGGGUUCUUCGUGCAGGCCAUUGUGACCGGGAAGGGGCCGGUGGAGAAUUUGUACGACCAUCUUGCGGAUCCGGCGACCAACAAUGCGUGGGCUUAUGCCACCAACUUCGUUCCCGGCAAGUGAGGGUUUCAUGUUCAUGUAUCCAUGUAUGUGUUGUAACUUUGAUUUGGGUUUGUAAUUUGAAAUGUUUAUGAAGGAACUUGUUAUGAAAGUG
rnacentral:misc_RNA from 1 species